rnacentral:ncRNA from 1 species
GCGGUACCUUGCCCGCGGGCAGGGUUUAAUAGGGAAGAAGGUCAGAAACCUCACAGCCCCCGCUACUGUAUUCCGCCUUGAGGGUGCGCCACUGCGAAAGCGGGAAGGCGUAAACGGGUUGUUUUUUCGGCGGAAAUAAGUCAGGAGACCUGCCGCACGCUCA